AUUGAACGCUGGCGGCAGGCCUAACACAUGCAAGUCGAGCGGAUGAACGGGGCUUGCUCCUGUAUGCAGCUGCGGACGGGCGAGUAAUGCCUAGGAAUCUGCCUGGUAUAUAGGACUAGCGUCCCUACACGGGCGCUAAUAUCGCAUACGUCCAGAUGUAGAAAGUGAGGGAUCUUCGGAGCUCGCGCUAUUAGAUGAGCCUAGGACGGAUUAGCUAGUUGGUGGGGUAAAGGCCUACCAAGGCGACGAUCCGUAGCGGGUCUGAGAGGAUGAUCAGCCACACUGGAACUGAGACACGGUCCAGACUCCUACGGGAGGCAGCAGUGGGGAAUAUUGGACAAUGGGCGAAAGCCUGACGCAGCCAUGCCGCGUGUGUGAAGAAGGUCUUCGGAUUGUAAAGCACUUUUAGUUGGGAGGAAGAGAAGUAAGUUAAUACCUUGCUGUUUUGACGUUACCAACAGAAUAAGCACCGGCUAACUUCGUG
rnacentral:rRNA from 1 species